rnacentral:rRNA from 1 species
GACGAACGCUGGCGGCGUGCUUAACACAUGCAAGUCGAACGGAAAGGCCCUGCUUUUGUGGGGUGCUCGAGUGGCGAACGGGUGAGUAACACGUGAGUAACCUGCCCUUGACUUUGGGAUAACUUCAGGAAACUGGGGCUAAUACCGGAUAGGAGCUCCUGCUGCAUGGUGGGGGUUGGAAAGUUUCGGCGGUUGGGGAUGGACUCGCGGCUUAUCAGCUUGUUGGUGGGGUAGUGGCUUACCAAGGCUUUGACGGGUAGCCGGCCUGAGAGGGUGACCGGCCACAUUGGGACUGAGAUACGGCCCAGACUCCUACGGGAGGCAGCAGUGGGGAAUAUUGCACAAUGGGCGGAAGCCUGAUGCAGCAACGCCGCGUGCGGGAUGACGGCCUUCGGGUUGUAAACCGCUUUCGCCUGUGACGAAGCGUGAGUGACGGUAAUGGGUAAAGAAGCACCGGCUAACUACGUGCCAGCAGCCGCGGUGAUACGUAGGGUGCGAGCGUUGUCCGGAUUUAUUGGGCGUAAAGGGCUCGUAGGUGGUUGAUCGCGUCGGAAGUGUAAUCUUGGGGCUUAACCCUGAGCGUGCUUUCGAUACGGGUUGACUUGAGGAAGGUAGGGGAGAAUGGAAUUCCUGGUGGAGCGGUGGAAUGCGCAGAUAUCAGGAGGAACACCAGUGGCGAAGGCGGUUCUCUGGGCCUUUCCUGACGCUGAGGAGCGAAAGCGUGGGGAGCGAACAGGCUUAGAUACCCUGGUAGUCCACGCUGUAAACGGUGGGUACUAGGUGUGGGGUCCAUUCCACGGGUUCCGUGCCGUAGCUAACGCUUUAAGUACCCCGCCUGGGGAGUACGGCCGCAAGGCUAAAACUCAAAGGAAAUGACGGGGCCCCGCACAAGCGGCGGAGCAUGCGGAUUAAUUCGAUGCAACGCGUAGAACCUUACCUGGGUUUGACAUGGAUCGGGAGUGCUCAGAGAUGGGUGUGCCUCUUUUGGGGUCGGUUCACAGGUGGUGCAUGGCUGUCGUCAGCUCGUGUCGUGAGAUGUUGGGUUAAGUCCCGCAACGAGCGCAACCCUUGUUCACUGUUGCCAGCACGUUAUGGUGGGGACUCAGUGGAGACCGCCGGGGUCAACUCGGAGGAAGGUGGGGAUGACGUCAAGUCAUCAUGCCCCUUAUGUCCAGGGCUUCACGCAUGCUACAAUGGCUGGUACAGAGAGUGGCGAGCCUGUGAGGGUGAGCGAAUCUCGGAAAGCCGGUCUCAGUUCGGAUUGGGGUCUGCAACUCGACCUCAUGAAGUCGGAGUCGCUAGUAAUCGCAGAUCAGCAACGCUGCGGUGAAUACGUUCCCGGG